rnacentral:rRNA from 1 species
CCCUUAGAUGUUCUGGGCCGCACGCGUGCUACACUGAGUGGAUCAGCGGGUCAGGUUGCGCGAAAGUGUUUCCUAAUCUUGAAAUCCGCUCGUGAUGGGGAUUGACGGUUGCAAUUUUCCGUCAUGAACGAGGAAUACCUUGUAAGCGCGGGUCAUCAUCCCGCGCUGAAUACGUCCCUGCCCUUUGUACACACCGCCCGUCGCUCCUACCGAUUGAGUGGUCCGGUGAGGCUUUGGGAUCUGAGCAAAGAGAGCGUUUCGCUCGUUUUGCCCGGAAAACUCAGUCGAACCUUAUCAUUUGGAGGAAGGAGAAGUCGUAACA